CUGUGUACACUGGUGGGAUCGUGAGCCGUCCUUGCUAGUCGGCCGGUCUCGGGGGCGAAUAGUGUGGCCACACUUUCGUCUCAUCGUGAUGAUGUUUGUGAUUGAUGGAAUGAUGUGGAAAGUGGGAAGAUAAAUUGACUGGCCAGUCUUGAAAAGUUUUGUGUUCUCGUGAUAUUUUUCUGCUAUCUAAAACUCGAGAUCACUGGUUGAGCAGGAUGUUGCGGAGGAUGUUGAGCUAGCCUUAGGAUGCGUCGUGUCUUCAUACAUAGGCGUGAUCCUUGACUCUCUCUUUGAACCUUAUUUCCGCUGCUGUGUUUUUCUGAACUAUGUUUCUUUAUCAUAAAUCUUUUCCGUACUAUGUCAAGCAUGUUUUGGUUGUGUUAGGCUUGAAACGAGUUGUUACAAUGUUACUUGAAAAUGAUGUUUUUCACAACUUAAACUAAAUGUUAUUUUCUUAGGAGUUGGAUGAGUUCUAAAUUGUGGUUUUCCGCUGCUUCCUUUUUAAAAUGUUUUUCAUAAGCUGUUUUUGUUUAAUAGUAGUAGUAUAACUCUAAGUUUCUUUAAAAUUAUAUAUAUAUAUAUAUAACGUUUUCUUCAUCAUUUAAGUAAUUAAGUUUUCGAUAAAAGUCUACCUUGCAUGUUUUAGUCGCGAUCGCCGCGUCAGUAUGGGCGGUCGUGACAGUUUUGAGGCUAUAUUUUGGUUCGUUUUAAGUGCUAAAUCCACAAUUCACAUCUUAUAAUUGUAAUAUUUGUACUUUUAGGUGUUUUGAUGUGUUUUAUGAUAAAUGUGCAGAAUAGAACAUAAAUUGUAGGAAAAAAAUACAAAAAUCGGUGUCUGGAGCAGGAGUGCAUUUCCAGCAGUCCGCUGGAAACCAACGGCCACUGAAGAUCAACCCAAUGAGGAUCAACGGCUGACAUACCUUGGAAAUCACAUUAAGGAGUUACGACACGCCCAACGGUCGCUGGAUUGUGCAGUGGCCCGCUCAAUCACUCCAGAAGACUCUUGGGAGAAGAUUGUCUGCCCGCUGGCUUGUGCCCAACGGCCCGCUGGAAUUCGGCGGUGAGCGAUUAGGUCAAAUCCGAGUCUGAUUUAUUACCAAAUAAAGUCAAAUUUAUUCCUUGCUGCCCAAGGACGUCCAGAGCCAUGUAAAUACUACCCCAAGCUUCAUUCAAAUCAUCACCUCUUCCACUGCAAUAUUCCACUAUACAAUUGAAAGAAGAUCUCUAGAGCUUUAUAGCAAGAGAAGGAGUAGUCGCCUGGAAGACCAGUAGAUACAAUUAUUCAAAAGGGUGAUCUGCCCUCAUAGCGAAUUGAUCCGGAUAUGUUCACUCUGCCGAUUACUAUUGGAGAUGUGAAAAUUGAGCAUGCAAUGUGUGAUUUGGGUGCUUCAAUCAAUGUGAUGCCACUUUCGAUUUAUAAUAAGUUAAAAGGAGUAAGUUUAGUGGAUACACCAGUAGUCAUUCAAUUGGUUGAUCGGUCUUGCAUUCGUCCAGAAGGAAUACUAGAGGAUGCCAUAGUUAAGGUUCAUGAUUUUCUUUAUCCAACUGAAUUUUAUGUUAUCCGUAUGAGUGAACCUGAAUUUAAGGAGUCAAGUGGCAUACUUUUGGGUAGACCAUUCUUGAGAAUAGCAAGAACUAUCAUUGAAGUGUUUCAUGGGACUAUUUGCUUGGGUUUUUUCAUGGAGAGAAAUUCACAUUUAACAUUGAUGAAGCUAUGAAAAUUCCGAUGGAUAUGGAGAAUCUGCAUUAUAUGGAUGUCAUUAACCCACUUGUUUGAGAAUACCUUGAGACUGAACUCAUGCAGGGGAAGUUUAAUCAUUCGGACAUGAACGAAUCCAUUGAAAGAGAGGUUGCAAGUUGGCGUGAAGCAAUAAAGACUCAAGGGAUGACUGAUAAAGAAAUUACUAAAGCAAUAAUGGAAUUCUGCAAGAAGCCAAAAUCUACUGGAUCAACCAGAUCUAUUCAACUGGCCAGUCUGGAGAAAAUGCCAAAAGUGGAUGAUCUAGCCACGAAGACACUUCCCCUAGGCUUAAAGUACGCCUAUCUAGGGGAGGAAGAAUCCUUACUUGUGAUCAUCAGCAGCAAACUGACUCAGAAGCAGAAGGGCGAAUUACGAAAGGUGUUGGGAAGGAACUAGAAGACAAUUGGAUGGACUUUAUCGGUUUGGUAAGGAUAAGCCCUGAUCUUUAUAUGCAUCACAUAUGCCUAGAAGAAGGUGCUAAAGGUCAUAGAGAUCCACAGAGGAAGCUGAACCCGAAUAUGCGGAAGGAAGUAAUGAAGGAAGUGCUCAAGCUACUGUCUCUAGGGAUCAUCUACUCUAUCCCGGAUAGCGAAUGGGUCAGUCCAUUACAUAUGGUGCUUAAAAAGUUUGGUAUUCAAGUGGUGACCAACUCUAAGAAUAAACUGGUUCCAACAAGGCUAGUGACUGGCUGGCGAAUGUGUAUAGACUACAGUAAGCUAAACUCCGCCACUAGAAAGGAUCACUUCCCACUACCAUUUGGCAUCUACGCUUAUAGAAGGAUGCCACUCUGAUUAUGCAAUGCUCUAGGAACAUUUCAAAGGUGUAUGAUGAGAAUUUUUUUGGAUCUACUGGAGGAGUGCAUCAAAAUCUUUAUGCAUGAUUUUACUGUA